UGCAGAAUCCCGUGAACCAUCGAGUCUUUGAACGCAAGUUGCGCCCCAAGCCGUUAGGCCGAGGGCACGCCUGCCUGGGUGUCACGCAUCGUUGCCCCCCCCUCCGAAACCCCCCUCCUCUCGAAAGAGACGAUGGGACUUGGGUGUGGGCGGAUAUUGGCCUCCCGUGGGCCGAACGGCUCGCGGUUGGCCUAAAUCUGAGUCGUCGGCGAUGGGCGCCGUGACGUUCGGUGGUCGAAUAAACCUCGAGCUCUCGUCGCGCGUCCGUCGUCGGUAGAGUAAGGCUCACUGACCCUGAAGCGUUGUCAACAACGCACGCAUCGCGACCCCAGGUCAGGNGGGAUUACCCGCUGAGUUUAA
rnacentral:rRNA from 1 species